rnacentral:lncRNA from 1 species
UUUUUUUUUUGUGAUUGUGAUAGAGUGGGGGUAUGAUUUCUUUGUUUAGUUUGAGUUUAUUUUUGUAAUGAUUUAGUACAACUUGAAGGCUUAAACUACAGUUGAGAAGAAGAUGGGAAAGCAAAUAAAGUUCAUAAAAAAUCAGUUUUGAGCAUAUAAGUUGAAUUGGUACUCGUUCACAUUUUUAUGGACUAUAACUUUGUGAUAUGACGGUACUACAAGAGAUUGUUUUUUAGGUGGUAUUUUUUCUUGAAAUAAACAAAGUAGUUUAAGAGUAUUUUUAUUUAGCAAAAUGAGCAAAAGAGUAGCUUAGGGUUUUUAGAGGUGCUAAGUGAUUAUUUUUCAAACUUUAGAGGUGCUAAGUGAUAUUAAAAGAAACCUCAAGGGAGGUUUCUGAUAUUAUCCCAAAAAUUAGAUACCUAUCAUAUAAUUUUCAUUUAUUUUCUAAGCCAUUCAUAAUUUCUUUCUUUUUUUUUUAUAAAGAAAGAAAAAAUAAAAACCUUGGACAUCACAAACCGCUCAUUUUCCUUUCGUGAAUAUAAAUAUGAACAAGUAAAAUAGCUCAUUAAGGGGGAGGAUGGGUUAGGUGCUGUAGGGAGAGAAAAUGUAAGUGAAAAGUUUCGAUUUAAGACCUCUCAUAUAAAAAAAAAAGGUAUAACAACUCAUUCUUUCACACCUUCAUUUGAUCACAAUUUCUUGUAUGUGGUCUUUUUAGAGUAUUUUAUUGUUAACUAUAGUCAUGAUUUUUGUUAAUCAAUUUGUCUAUUCAGUAAAUAAAUAGCAAUUCGAUCUAUUAAUAUGUAUGGUCUUGGAUCAUUAAUAAUGUUUUUCUUUAGAAUUUGACUAUUUGAUUGAUUCGAUUACUUCUAUUCUAUUAUGUCAAAUGGCCGGGACAAAGGGCGCAAUCUCGUGAGAGUGAGUUAACCCCAAAAACCCGACCUUAGUUCGAAUUGCAGUCUGCAAUUCGCCAGCAUGAAACCAGAAUCGCUAGUAAUCGUCGGUCAAUCAUACGGCGGUGAAUCCGCUCCCGGGCCUUGUACACACCGCCCGUCACACUAUGGGAGCUGUCCAUUCUUGAAGUCGUUACCUUAACCGCAAGGAGGGGAUGCUGAAGGCAGGGAUAGUGACUACCGUUGAAAUUAUGGUUUUUAUCUAUAGCAAUAAUUAUAUGCUCAUGAUCGAGCAUAUUUGAGAUUUUUGCUUAUAUGGGUUUUUUCAGCACUUCCAACUCGGGAGCAAUUCGAACGACAAGUCGACAAGACUUGAUCAACAGAUUCAACUCUUUUGAUCACAAUUUCUUUAACUCCUAAGCAAUUCGAACAACAAAACUUGGUCAACAGAUUCAAUACUGGGUGAGUCUCUUACUCUAACAGUAGUAAUUUCAGCGAUAUUCCUCAUUCGCGUCAAUUGUUUAUCUUCCUUUGAUUUUAUCUCACCUUUGUAGAUCACAUGUUUGAUGAAAGUUCUCCCCGAAUUCUUCACAGUUGACGCUGUGUUUGCAGUAAUUAAAUAGGUUUUGAUGAAUCCCAUUUCGAUUUUUUUGAUCAUUCAGCAUAAAUAUCGGUAUUUCUUGGGCAUUGGAAACACUUAAAAAAAAAAAUUUCCUGGGCAAUGGAAUUUGAAGAAAGUGCUGUUGAGAAAUCACAAAAGAAUCAGGAAUGCUUUGAUAAAUUUUUAGUACUAACUCUUUGACGAAGUUUAAGGGCUGAUUGGUGGUUGACUGGUUUCAGUGGAUUGCAAGUGCCUUUUUGCUAGCUGCUGUAACCGAUCGUGGAUGUGUUGCUAGCCUUUUUUUUUUUUUUGGCUAACUUAGUUGUUUGUUGUUUUUUUUUGGGGGGACUAAGGACUCAUUUUCUGUUGUAAUUGUUCAGUUUUCUCUUUCUUGUAUUCGGUUUUGCUCUUUCUUUAUCUUUAGUGAAUUUGAACUUGGAUUUGGUGCUUUAAAAAGUUGACAUUGUUUCCUGUUCCACGUUCAGGAUUGUCAGAAGUUUGAGCAUCAGGUGUUCAGUGACAAGCGCACAGAGAUUCUUUUAAACAUAUUUCAAAAUCUCCUCAUUGAGCUAGCAUGUUUUAGUGAUUAAGAAAAAAAGAGACUUACAUAUGUCUCCACCCUUAGGACGAUGCUGAUGUAGAUGCGGUGCCUCUGAUCAGUUCUGGCACCACCUUCCUCCUCUUCCUAUUGCUACCUUGAGGAGAAUGGGGUCCUUUAUCUCUUUCCCAGUCUGACCACCUCCCAUCCACGUGAUGUCGGCAUGUUCUACUGCAGGAAUUUUCUCGACAUCAUCUCAUGCAUGAGUUUUUUCUGUCUUCCCUGCUCAGCCAUUGCCUGCUUUGACCACCACCUUUUGUUCAGGGGUUCAUCCUCCUCCGUCUACUUGAAAGCUGCCUAGUGGGAAAGCUGCCUAGUGGGAACCGAGACCUGUUCUGAUUCAACAGAAGAUGACACUCAUUGUUAUGAUCUGGCAACUAGAACAUUGAGAGGGCACACCAUUUCUUGUUAGUUCUUUAUGGAAUCCUUUGUGCCACUGGUCUGUUGGUGUCGAUCCUUCUCUCUUAUGUUGAAGGUCGUGCAAUUCCUCCUUUUUUUUGCGAUCUCUGGGUACACUUAAUGCAAUUGCACGAGUAAUCCUACCAUUAAUCUUAGGGGUUGGUCUGUCCCAUAUGGUUAUUAGUCUUCUUUACAAUGGGUACAUGGAGAUGAGCAAGGGAUGCUAGAGAGGAAGAAAGAGCAUGGCCUUGCUAUAAUAAUAGUUGAUCAAAUAGACUAGAGCUUUGUCACCCUACCUUGUAUCUCAGUUAGUUAAUGUAUUGAAUAAUGCAUAGUCUCUUAGUUUCUUUGGCCUCUGUUCUGCCCUGGGAAGGGAGUAGCAGCGAUAAGCUUUGUAAUGCUCCUAAUUUCGAUUUUUGAUGAUUGUUGCAACUUUAAUUGAAGACUUCCCCUUUGUUGUUGUAUCCAUUUAUGAAAUCUCAAAAUCUUUCCUGCUUGGUGGUGCAUUUUCCUUGUUAUGUUAAUUAGUGUUGAUUUUUAUGAGUUUGGCUUCAAUCUGCACUCUGCAUCCAAUCUCAUUCAAUAGAAUAUGACUUCUUCCUGAUAUGGUAAGUUUGAAUAAUCCAAAAACAGAAAGUGGAAGGGCACAAUAUUUGACAUGCAAAUAUAAGUGAAACAAUAGAUAGUACGCAUGUUAUAUUAUGCAACAUGGGCUCGCCUUGUGGUGGAGUUGAUCAGAAUAAUUAGUUACCUUCUCCGUUUCACUUAGCUUUCUACAAAGGAGUGUUGUUAUUCACUUUUUUUUUUAAUGUUCUGAUAAAUUAAACUUCAUAAACCAUUCCAACCUUUAAAAGCCUAGUCCUAGGAAUUUCCAAGAGCUUCUGCCCUUGCCUGACAUUCUUCCGAAGGAAAUUGUAGGCAUAGUUGACGACAAACUUCUUGAAGAAGGAUGAAUCUUGUUUUGCCACCACUUCUGCUUCUCCCAGAAGAUAAAACACUCCUUGUUCUUUGGCUCUCUGCACAAUCUGUAGCUCCUCUUCAACACCCAGCUGGGUGGACCCCGGAAUGGUUCGGAUCGAGGAAUUGGUUGAUUUUGCAGCAUUAAAUGACUGGAUUGAACUUGAUGAGACUCCGGUUGCACUUUGCUGUACCUCUGGCAGUGAUUCUUCGACAUGAACAGUUUUGGAACCGGAUUUUCUAGGAUUUCCAUCUUUCUGCAUUAAACCUGAAUCUUGGAUGUCUGAAUCAGGCAUUUGCUCUCUAGAUGCAUCUUCAAGGAUGAAAUGCUCAUGCCUGAUGAAUUCCUUCAAGUUCUCCACAAGCUGCUGCUCAAACACCUGAGGCUCCUCAAUUCUGUCAUUGUAUCCAUACCUCACUACACAACGAAACACUCGAUAAUCUCUUGGCUCAACCUGUCGAAAAAGAAACCUUUCAUCCAGUGGCACUUUACUAAUUGGGAGGGACUUUAUGGAGACCAGCACCGUGACUGAGUAAACUGUUGGAAUGUUAGAAACAAAGUGGGGAAAUAUUGGUGGAAUACCCUGAACGAGUUCAGAGUAUAGAAGUCCAAUACCAGGUACUCUUCUAAUUUGUGGGUUUCUGGCCAAAUCUUUCACAUAAUCACUGGAUACCUUGUUCUCGAGCUCAAACAAGUAUCGCUCUUUGUAGACAUAAUGCCAAAUUCCCAUAGUUGUCAUCAAGAAGAAUGAAAAUGCUAUAGGGAGGUAACCACCUUGUAUGAAUUUGGAGAGCACAGCUGAUAGAUAUAUGGAGUCUGUGCAAAAGAACGUUAGAAAGAAGAGAGCUAUCCACCAUAUGCUUGCCUUCCAUAUAAAAGUCAUAAUUAAAGUGACCAGACUACUGGUUAUCACAAAUACAGAGACGACAGCAAUUCCUGCAUUAGAAAAUUGGUUAUAUGUUUUCGCUUCUCUAAUAAGAUAUAAAAAAAUUUCUUAGUGCUACAUUUUAUAUCUGAAGCAACAGACAAAUUCAGGAAUCUGUAGUUCUUGAAAGAAGCAUGUUAAGGAGUAGCAUGGGUCCUUGAUAACUUUUGUUCUUAAAAUACCUGAUUUUGUUGUUUGACUUUCUGAGUAUGAGCAGAGAGGCAUAACACAUCCACACAAACACAAUCUGCUGUCCUGAAGGUAUUUUGACUUUGCUGUCUUGUGCUAUUAGCACCUUUCUACCAGACAGAAGAUUAAACAACUGCUAUUCGUCUAUGUUUAUGACACAUAUCUCAUAGUUAUAUAGAGAGGGAUAUACACACAAAUCAAUCAUGUUGUUCUUCAUUUUAAAAGCCAACUACCGAAUUUAAUUUGCAGUUGCGAAAGAACCAUAAAUUUAGAAUAUGUUCCUAUAACUGUAAAGUUCGAUGGGCAUAAAGAGCAUAAAAUGUGAAAUCAUUGGGUAGUGGAUUUCUCAAAGUUUAGAUUACAUAAAAUCUAAUUAACCGAUGUAUGUACAGGCUUAGGAUUACGCCAUGCCUGAGUUGAUCAUGUUUCAUAUAUAGAGGGAAAGACUAACUUCUAUUUACUACACUGUCUAAUUCAGUUAAUUAACUUUCCAAAUCCAAGAGUAUAUUGAGAUUACCAUAAGCAUUGCCGAUCUUUUCUGUGGUUCUGAAUAUUGCAGUAACCAUUAUACAAGCCGUCAUGAUGAAAUAGUUGAGCUCAGGAAUAUAAACCUGGCCCUCAUACUUGGCAGAUGUGUGAACAACUCUAACCCUUGGGAAACAACCUAGAUUAAGGGCCUGAGAAAUAAUUGCAAAGGCCGCAGAUAUCAUAGCUUGACUGGCAAUAAUGGCUGCAACGACAGCUAUAACAAAUGUAGGCCAAUAGAUUGAAUCUGUCAAUCCAACAUAGCAGUCAACCAUUUAUAGAACUGUUAACUCCUCGGUUAUGCAUAUAAUAUUGGUGAUUAAAUAUUCCAAAACUAGCACUAAGAACUUGCCUGGAACUGACUUAUAGAAUGUGUUGCCGACAUUUUCAGGGAACUUCAUGAGGUAUGCAGCUUGACCUAGGUAAGUUGAAAUUAGGGUCGGGAACACUACACUGGAGAAACUAAUCUGCAGAAUUUUUACACAGAAAAGAAAAGAAAAAGUCAUGAACAGCUUAAUAGUCAUAUGACAAAGCAUAAAAAGGUUGUACAUUGCAGAGACUGUAGUUUUAUCCUUUAAUAAUCUUCUCCAUGUCUGGUUUGGACAUGCAAUGUUUUCCCUCAUAUAGCUUCUUUUAGUUACAUAGUACGAAAUACGGUAAGCAAUCAUCUUUAACUUGGGCAUGCCAACAAGAUGUUUGGCAAGAAGCAGAAUUUAAAAACUAGGUUCAUCAUUUUCUUUUGAUUUGCACCAAGUUCAGAAUGUAGAAAUACAUUUAUGAUAUUUGUUGUAGUCGUGCAUAGUGCAUAUACGUUUGCUAGUGACGGAUAUAGGAUUGAGUAACAUACCUGAACAGCCCUCACACUAAAGUGACUCAAAUCAGCAAACAUAGCUUCGGUCCCUGUUUCAUAUUAUUGUCUGCAAGUUAGGAUACACUAACCAUAUGUGAAUGUGAGAAAAUUAAAUAAUUGGGAGUGACAGUAUUAGCCUCUGACCUGUAACGCAUAGGACGACUCCACCUAGUGAUUUCCAUCCUUUCUUACCAUUUCUUCUGAAGUAAUCGAAUAUGUAUUUUGGAUUGAAAGCACGUAGGACCCCAGGGUCAUGCUUAAAUAAGUUGUAGAAGCCAGUAAGACCUAUACAUAGGAACCACAAGCUGAUUGCUGGAGCGAAUGAGAAGCCAACCUUGUCCGUGCCAAAGCGUUGAACGGAGAAGAGAACGAUCAAUAUUGCAAUUGAAAUUCCAACAACAGCGUCUGGACAAUCAAAAAGUUCAGCCCCAUUUGGGUUAAGGUACGCUUACAUGUAUGCUAUACAAAGUUUGUCCAAAUGUUAGUUGUUUCUAAGAAAGAUUGUGAUUUAAUGGAAUGUGAUUAAACUCGAUGGAGCACUAAAUAUCAGUAUUUGCAUUCUGAUCUUCAAGAACAGCAAACUGUGUUUCUUUUGAAAAAUCAGACACUAUACAGUUGCAAGGCCAUAGGGAAGUAAGAUUAGCAAAUGUUACCUUGUUUGAGGGAUGUGAUCCCGCUCACAGCAGAAAGCACUGCAACCAUAAGGACCAUCAAAGUCGUGUUAGUGUUCCUUUGCAAACUUAAGGACCUUGCAACAGCUUAACAUUUUUCUUGCUAUUAAGUUGUGAUACCAAUUCCUCUUGUACUACUACAUCGAUAGGACUUCAGAAGAUACAGUACAUAGUAAAUGUUGCUAUUUCUAAUUGAAUGAAAUGCAUUCCACAGAUGAAGUAUUGCUUAAAGUUAGAGCAUAGUUAGCAUUUAAUGAUUUUCUUUCAUUCAUUAGUUACCUCAAGCACUAACCUUAUGCAAAUUUACUUCAUUCUUCUAUUUGUUAUUUCAUAAAAUGAACACAAAAUGAAUUAAAGUUCUGAUGUCAUUCUAUCACCAUUAUUUCCUUACAAAACAUUAAUUCAAUUCUUCUCACUCAUCAACUUCGGCUCAUUUACUUUUCCACCAAUUUGUCCUGUUUGACUCAAACUCAAGAUUCUCUUUGUUGAACUAAUGAUUUUAGUGUGUAUUUUUAUUAUAAUAUGUACUACUUCAGGCUUCUUUUUGGUACUUUAUGAGGUACAAACACACUUGAUCACUGGGUUCUAUUCAGUUAUUCAUAUGAGAUAGACAACUUUUUUUUUUUUCAGUAUACUUGGUAAAUAAGAUUUUCCCGUAACUUGAUUUUAAUUUAUAUAUUGAAGCUAUGUGUAGCAACUAGCAAGGAUAAGGUACUAGUGAAAUUAGGUGACUGAAAUUAAAGCAAAAUAUUCAGUUGUUCUUAUUGAAAGAUUAAAGAAUGAAAAUGGGGGUCUGAUGUCUAAAUGUAUGUUGUGCAGGUGGCAGAAUGUGACCUGAAAUGCAGGGAGUGAGGAUCCCAUCACCCAUGACCAUAGAAGUUCCAAGGAUGGGAAGAAACACAAGUAUGAUUUUUGCUACUUUGCUUCCUUCCAGGGUUUCUUUAACCUUUUGAGCCCUUCUCAACUGGUUGGAGGGUAUAUCUAUUUUGUAAUUUGAGACUUCCGUGUCCUCUGGCUGUUGGUUUGGAAUAAGGCUUACCUUUGCAUGUCUACAAAUUAAGGAGUAGAGCGCAAAUGUCCCGCCUGCACAUAGAUGUGCACCACCAUUUACAGAUUUGUAAUUCAUUAUUGGCUGGAUUGAUCAGAUAAACAGAGUAUAUUGUAGAAAUUUAAGAAAUAAAGGGAUGAUAUGUUGUUUAUAGUCAAAUAGCAUCAAAUAGUUUGACUGAAACAAAAAUUAAUAUGCAGAAAAGCAUAACACUAUAUGAAACAUUAUUUGCAUUUUUGGAUUUUAUAUUUUCAUAUUUCACUACUUGAAGAAACUUAAAACCGCCACAGCUUAAUUUGCAGAAUUUCGAGACCCCAAAAACAAGAUGUGGAUUGAGCAUCUUGAUAAACAGGAAGAUUAGCUGUGCCCUAUAUGAAUUCAAGAAGUGGAAAUGUUUCCUUGGCUGCCCCAAUGAACUGAUGAAGUGAAGGCUAGAGGCAUAAGUUUGCCACAGAAUCUUGGUCCAAUGACCUCAGCAAUUGUGUUUCAUGGAAUAAUAUCAAGUAAACUAUUUGCAUCACUUGACAAUGUACUUGUUGUAUUAGUAUCAAAUACUCACUGCCAAAUAAUGGGCCAGACAAAGAAUGGCUCAAUGAGUGUGUUAGACAAGACUAAUUAUCAUUAAUUGGGUGAAAGAUACAAGGGUAAAUUAUUUAUUAUUCCCUAUGGUUUUAUAUAAUGCUAGAUGACUCCUCUAAGAUUUCAAAAUAGCCACAUAACCUUGUGAUUUUAUGUGAAGAAGAAAAUGGACGGAAUGCAUAAUCAGUUACGGUGUUUAUAUCAAACGCACUUUAAAAGUACGUGUGAUAAAAUCUUAAUAUUCAUGUAGCCUUCUUAUGAUUUGUGCAAAUAUACAUUUUACCUCCCGGGACUUUUGCAUUUAUUCACAUAAUCUCACUAUACUUUUAUAUAAAGUGGUUAAGCCAUCGAUUGAUUUAUAUUUAAAUGACAACACUAUUGACAUUUCAACUAACGAUGUUACGUAGGCUAUUUUUCGUGAAGUUUUCACUUUAUAUAAAAUCAUAAGAUGGUUGAAAUGGAUAUUUUGAAACGUUAGGAGAAGUUAUGUGACAAUAGAUUAAACCAUAAAAGAUUAUACGUAAUUUAUCCUAGAUACAAUUAUAUCUCUUGACAUGUCAAAGUUUUGAUGACACAGACUGUCUAAUACUCUCAUAUUUCAAUCGCUUUCGGCAUAGCAAAUAGGACUUUAUUUGGUGGAUCAUUACGCUACGGAUCCUCACACAUGAACCAUAUGCAGAAAUUGUAGAUCUCAAAGUAGGGUUCACAUGAGAGGAUUCAAAUGAUUCGUGUAGAACCAAUCUACAGAAAAGUGCCUCCCACCAACCAAAAUGAUCCAUCCUAGGAAUCCACGCACGUCGCUUUUUGCCAACUCGUCAAAGCACAGUUUUCACCACAAAAACAAAAGAGAAAAAAAAAACAGAAAAACUACCACACAAAUGCAUUCCUAAUCCUGAUUAUGGUAAUUAAUUAUCAUUAAAGUGGAGGAGAAAUUACUAAAAGAACCAGUAAUGAAGUGAUGAUUACCAUGUUUAGACUACUCACCAUUGCCAUUGUCGUUUGCCCACAAGACAAUACACACAUACUUGAUCAGUGGCAAGAGAGUUAGGGUAUAGAUAAUCAGGGACAAAACACCAAGGAGGUCAUUUUUGUCAUGUAUUCCAUCAGGAAAUGUACUGGAAUAUACGUACAAUGGAGAAGUCCCAAUGUCACCGUAUAUUACUCCUAUGCUCUGAAAUGCCAAACUGAGUGUGGUUUUCCAUCCUAAAUCCUGUUGAAUUAAGCAAGUACAAGGGAUAAAGAACUUUUAUAUCCAGUUAAAAUGGUACAGCAUUUUUGAAACUAGAAACCUCUUUUACGCUUUCUUUACUCAUCUUAUAGUCAUGCCUUUCUUGCAAGUAAAAGCUGUUUGUUUUUUUUUUUCCUUUACUUCUCUUUUUAACACUUUUGAGAUGAACGACAGUUGAAUUUAAUAAUCAGUUUUUAACUUGUUAAAGUACUUAGAAAUCGUUCUCAAUUUUUUGGAGCGUGUUUUAAAUGAUAUAAUUAAGGAAAGCUAAACCAAUCAAAAAGAAGUUCUAGUUAGAAGAAGUUAUGAGGAAAAAUGCCUUCAGAUGUGAAAGAAAAAAUAACUUUAAACUUUUGAGAACUUAUAUAUAUACAUAUUUAUUUUUUUAAAAAAAAGCCACAUAUGUUAAAAUAUUUUGUAUAGCUUUUUCAUGAUCACUUUUUUUUUUUUUUGGGUAAAACAGGUCCAGUAAAUAGCAAAGCAAAUAAUUGACGACAAUAGACUAGUGGAGUAACACUAGUGUUUAAUAGUAACAACCUUGUUGCCAUGGCCACCGCCGGUACGUUUGCCGGAAACUGUUCCGGCCUCCAAGUUGAGGGAGUCGAUGCGGCGGAGCUUUGCCCACGACAGUUUCCGGUCCUUGAGGUUGUUGGCAGUUGAUUUUCUAAAGCUUCUCUCUUUAAUCUCAUCCUUAUCAUCAUCAGCUGUUACACCUUCACUAGGUGUAGGUGGAGGAAAAGAACUCCCCACCUCAGCUUCCUCAACAGCUCCGUGCAUUUCUGCAAAUAUGAUCAACCCAAAUGAAACCUCCUGUAUUUGGAAAUUGGUGGGUUCUUUUGGGUUCCACAACUUGGGUUUUUAUAGGCCUGGCAUGUACUAUGAUGCCAUGUACCAUAAUAUAAUUGUAAUCUAAUUUGUUUUUAUUCCUCGAAAGUCAAGAAGGAAUAUAUAAAUUUAUCUCAUUCAGCGUUGAAACUGGAAAUUUGUCCAAUUGGCCAAUCAUUUUUCUCCAUGUCUGCACACGUGUUGGCCGAAGCUAGCGUGAUUCUCCAUGUCCAACGCAUCCCCUAGACUUCUUUCCAGUUCCUCUCAAGAACUAAUCCAUUAUUGCCAAUAGUUUUUUGUUAGUACUUUGCUGGAAUAAUUCUACUAUCAUUAUUGCUAUUAUUUAAUGGAUUAACACUAUUACUAGCAGCAUAUUCCCGUUUACUUUUCGGGCAUUGACAUUUUGGAUUGCAUUUUUAAAUUUCUUGAUUUCUUGCCAUAAAGGGACAGAAAAUAUAUCAUAAUUAAUGUGUUACUAUAAUUCAUACAUGCUGCCAUCACCUGGGAGAUUCAUUGGCUUGGUCUGAAUUCUGUGUCUAGUAUGUCAAUUUAGAUUUCUAAUUUAUGGUUGGUAUGAGGUUGAUGCUAAUGUAUUUAUGCAAGUUUUUAUGGUUAUCUUUUGAUGUAAUAAAAGUUGCAAUCAAAUCGAUCUUGUUCCUUUCUUUUUUACUACAUUGGGACCAAAUAUAGAGUUCUCGAUUCAAGAAUUAAGUGACAUUGAUCUGUCUUCACGGAGUUUCAGACUUCUAAUAUAAAAUUUCCCCUACAAAAUAAUGAAAGAAAGAGGACAUUAGUACAUUACGGAAUCAAAAACUGAUAUUGUACUUUGGAAAAGAAAAAAAUUAUAUAGUAUGAAAGAAGAUUGAUAAGAGUAUUUUAGUAAUAUAAAUAUAUCCAGAGACUAAAGGCAGCAGAAGAGAGAUUUUGAUGACAAGGUCAUAAACAACCCAAUCAUAAGUCUCAUCAGAGGAAGUCAAAGGCUCUUUAGAAACUGAUUUCCGGUUAGGAUCAGCAGGUUUAAGUUUUCUCCAUUCAGAUUCUUUGCAUUUGUUUAUAUGUUUUUUUUUUUACUAUGGAUAACACAAAAUUUUAUUAUUUGGAUAUGACUAUAGGUGCAUUUGAUAAAGUUGAAAUCUAAAAACUAAAAUAUAAAGUUUGAAUCCAUUAAGUUACUGUAUUAUCAAGUACUAAAUUUGAUACAUUUGAGUGUAUAUUACAUUAAGUGAUAAUUAAAUAGCUUAUCAUUUAUUUUUAGGAGUAAGUUUUAUUUGGAAAAUUAAGUGCUAUUUAAUUAAUUCAAAUAUUAUAUUUCUAGUUUUCAAGCAUUUUUUAACAUGUUAAGAUCUGAACCCAAUACCCAAUUCAGCAUUUAAAGUUAAUAGGUUUAUCAUAAUAUGUGCAGACACGUUUGAUAACAAAAAAUAAAAUAUUUGAAUUAAUUAUGUGGUAUUGAAUUUUCUUGUCCGAAUUUACUCUAAAAAAAGUGAUAUGCUAUUCACUUAUCAAUUAAUGUGAUAUACAUUCAAAUGUAUCAGAAUUAGUGCUUAAUAAUUUAAUAAUUUAACAGAUUUGGUCCUCAAAUUCCAUAUUUCAGUUUUCAGGUUUCAAUUUUAUCAAAUGUACCCUAAGUUUAAAUGUUGAAUUAAGUUAUCAAACAGAACCUAUAUCUCAAUUAGUACAUUAGCAUAAUUAGACCAAAUUUUUGGUCUCAAACCAAUUGCAUCAAUUGGUAUUCAAUCAGCAAGCAAUAUUUGGAUUGAACUUGAGUGAAACUAUAUAAAAAACUACUAUAUGAAUUAGGUGUUUUCAAAAAACUACAAUGUACCAUUGUAUUUCAAAAAUUUUCUGCUGUAGAGAAUUUAAGAAAAUGAUAAAAUUUACUAACGAACUUAAGGGCGCAGGCCCCAAUUGUUUUGAAAGGCAUUGCUUUGUAAAGAUUUUUCAGUUUGAUGCAGUGAAAUCUCAUUGAUUUUUUGUUUUCAUCUCAUUCAUCUUAUCACAAAAUGAAAAAUAGAUAGACACCUGCACCAUGACGUAUAAGUAGAAUGCAAUUUGGCAUUUGCGACCAAAUUUUCAUAUAUGAAUCAAAGGAUGAAAUUAAAGAAAAACGAAUUUGAUAUUCUUUUUCAACUGAAAAACUAUGAAAUGAGUGGUCGAUAUUGCAUGAUAAUCCAAAUGGUGAUGAUAUUUGCCCUCCAAGAUUGUAUCUUUCAUUUUAUUUUAUUUUGUCCAAGAUUGUAUAUUGUUUGUCCAACUUCACAAUUUGGUAUAGUAAGAUGACAUUAUUGUUCUCCCUAUCUUCUUUGUACUUUCAGACCCCAUGUUUGAUUCCCCUCUGUCUUUUUCCACAUAAUCUUUGUAGUAAAACAUUGUCGAGCGUGAAUAAGCACAGAGAAAGGAGGACCCAAUCAUACAGAGAAAAGAGGAAAUAUAUAAUUGGGAAUUAAUAUCCAUCACCCAAAUGUCUAAUUUAAAAUUUUUAGCAACUCAAAAAUGUUUAUGUUUUCACCAAUUCUUGGAGUGAUAGAGGGGAAGGGCAAGGUUUUUGGGUAGGGCCGGCGAUUAGUUGCAGGGAAGAAGAAAAGCACGUCACUGUGACAGAAAAGUUGCAUUUUUUGGAUUUUCUCCUCCUCUUGAUGAAUCUACUGAAGAUUUGGGUUGUGGCUUGUUGCAUGGUGAGGCUAUAUUUUCCAAUGAAAAGUACAAAAUUGUACAAUUCCCCCGCUGGCAUCCAAUUGAGGAGUGCGACCCGAUUCCCGCAGAACACUGACUUUAUUGAUGCCUUGGUCCAGCCCCACAUCCUCGUGCAUUUAGACCUGAACUCCCAUGAUUUGGAUAUUCCAUAGGUAUCCAUUGGUACUAAAAAAUAAUCAGUACAUGUAAAAUUUUAAGAUAGCAAAAAUACAAUUCAAUCACCAUUUUAAAAUGAUAAAAUUAAUAUUCAAGAAUGUUGCGCACGUUAAAUCCAACGUUUUAAAAUCGGGCUACACUGGUCAGCUCGAUCGAUCGAACUAGAAACCAAUCAUGCUUUCGGUUUGAUUUAAUGAUUAAUCCAAAAGUUCAAUUAAACCGGUGAAAUUAGGUCAAGAACUGGCUAGACUAGUAAAAAUAGGAAGAUUCAACCGGAUUUUAUUAAUUUUUUAUUUUUCAAAACAAAUAUUUUAGAUUUAUUCAAAAUUUUUAACACAAAACUAAAAAAAAUGAUUAAAUCUUUGAACCAGAGUUGACUAAUUGAGCUGGUUGAAUGGCGAAUCAGAAGUUCUUUCGAUUCACUCCUCAGUCCAAAUUUAAAAACAAUGAAUAAAUCAUGAACAGAAAGUAUGAAAUGUUAUCAAAUAUUUCUAUUUGCUUGAAAAUUUUUAUCUAUAUUCAAGAUUGAAACUUUUGUGUUUUUGCAUCACCUCCGCUUUAUCUUAUAUAAACAUAUAGAUUUGGGUAGGGUCAAGACUUAGAUCUGGAUUUAGGUAUAAAUCAUACAAAAUUAGAUCCUAUUCGAACUAUUCAUUCUUUCAUGGGACUUGGGUCUAGGUAGAAUCUAAAUUUGUAAUUUUAAAUCCAAACUCAAGAAAAGUAAUAUGAUGGCUCUGGAUUGGAUCUAGGUAGAGGUGGUAAAUCAACCCACUUAACUAAAUUUACCCAUACCCGCCCAUGAAUAGAUGGGCAUGGGUAUCUUAAAUUUUUGUAUAUGGGUAUUAUUGAGUAACCCAUCAAACCCAAUUAACCCAUUUAGAAUUCUCUUCCCCACCAAGUCUCUUCUUUUCCCCCACCUUUUUUUUUUCAAAAUUUUCAUUUUGUCAUGAUGUUAACUACUUUUGUUUCAUUAUUAUUAUUAUUAUUAUUAUUUGUUGGUUUUAUCUCAUUAUUUUAUUUUCUCUUAGUUUGUUAACUUGCUCAUUUUUUAGCAUUACUAAUUUAUGAUAAAUUUUAGCCUAUUUUCUUAUCUUUAUAAAAUGAAAUUUUAAAUUUAUAUAUGAAAAAAUGUUAGGGGUUCAAAAUUUUUGGAUUAAGUUUUUAUAUUAAUUUUUAUAGUACUUAGUUCAAAUUUUUAUAUUCUUAUUAUUCAAUUAUUAAAUAAUAGGUAAUUUUGUGACAGAGUAUAAAUGAAAAAAAAUUGGUAAUUAAGUUUAUUGAACAUUAUAAGUAAAUAUUUAAAACUGAUGAUGGGUACAAAGAGUGGUAUAAAUUGAUAACUUAGUUUGCAAAAAUGAAUUUAAAUGAGUUUACAAAAAGUUAAAAUAAAUGGGUAAUUGGGUUGUCCAAUUCAUUUUUUGACUUACCCAUUUAUACCCAUCUAAUUAAAUGAGUAUAAAUGAGUUGACUCACUUAUACUCAUUACCCAUUUUACCCAACCCAAACCCCCAAGUCACCCAUUUUGACACCUCUAGAUCUAGGUAAUACUCAACCUAUUGAUCUGUCUUAAGUGUGAAGGUCAAUUCUUUAAUACAAAUGAGAAACAUAUAAUGUCAUGGUGUAACCGACAGAUUAUUCCUCGAUUAAUUAAAUGACGAGUUUAGUUAAUCCAUGAACACCAUCUAUCAUCUUGAUUCGACUCCUAACAUGGACCCGAGUAUUAUACGUCAUCCAAAUCACCUUUAAAAUGCCAACCAGCGGAACUUCUUGGAUGUAUAGUUAAUUUUGUUUGUUAUUCCAGAAAGAUCUUCAACACCUUUGGACAUACGUACGGAUCUGUCAUUAAUCCAUUUGCGUGCAAAUCUUGUUGGCAAAGCAAUAUAUAUAAUUAUAUAAAAUACCAGCACACCAGGCCUGUGUAAUCAUUACAUAAUUAAUUACAAAAUGAUAAAAUACCACUAAAUUAGACCAGCAUAAUUGAAUUCUAAUCCCCAUUUUCUCCCGCAUCUUAAAUCUCAACAUUUAACUAGUACAAAGAAAAAAAGGAUUAAACUAGUGUAAUCAAUACGUAAUUGUUGCUUGGUAGUUUUGUUUAGACUUAUAAGAACCUGUUUUAAAGUCAUGAAAGAGACUGUAAAGUUAAAAAUCAAGAGACAAUUUCAAAUGAAAUGACAUAAUAGAUAUGUAGUAACAUUAUUGAUACACGAAUAAUACUUGUAAAUAAUUACAAAACUUAGAGUAGAAAGUCAACAAAGGUGAGUUCAUAGGUACUGUGUGUGGAAAAAAAUGGAGGUUGACUUUCCGCAUUUUUAGAUUGUGAGAGCACGAUUGACUUUGCAGACUGUGUCCUUUUCCUCCAUACAUUGUGCUCUUUUUUUUUAAAAAAAAAAAAAAAAAAAUUUCCCAAAAGAGAUAUUUUAUAAUACUCAACUAUUAUAAACAGCUAAUUUAGCCAACUGGCCUUACAUCCUUCCCCUGUGCUUUCUUCCAUCAUCAUUCAUUCAACUUUAAUUUUACCUUUUUGACAAUGUAAUGUAGUUGAAGCAGUGAACUUUAAAAAGGGGUAAGUAGACUGCAAAUUUACAAAUAUUUUAAAUUACAUAUUUAUCAUAUCAUUUUCUAAAUCUUCAGGGGUAGACAAAUUCUGCACCCUCAAGAUAUAUGGCUCCACUAGUAAUUGUUAGCAGUUACUCCAAUGGAUUGCAUAAAUUGAUCCUUCUCAAUGUCAAAAUUACUAUUAGUGAUCAAGGUCUUCGCGAAAUACAAUCAUGGCUGUCGAUGAGGCUUUGAUCUAGUAUUUAAGAUUGAGGUAUCAGGACUUGAGAUCCUGAGUUUAAGUUCCCUCAUUCCCAUUUUCAACUUUUUAAAUCUUACUCUUCCUCUAUUAAUAAAUAAAUAAAUAAAUACAAUUAUGGCUCUGUGAGCGGGGGAACCUACAAUUAGGGGUUUCAGGCAGACUUAGGCUAAUUUUUUUUUUUUAAUUUUCACUUUAUUUGAUCAGUACGUAGUUUUCGAUCCCUUGGGAACGGUCUAUGAUUAGGCUUCCUUUUUUUCUUUUAACGUCCAAUGUCACUUUUUAUUGAAAGAAGGUUAUACAAGCAACUAAGCAAGUACGUGUAAAAGCACAGUAUUACUACUUACACGAUGUCAGGCUAGCUAUUUACUUUAGAGACAAAAAGACAAAAAGGUCAUCUAUACCGUCAAAUAUCCAGUGCAUCGACUUAAUCAGUAGUCUUUUGAAUUUCCUUCCUUUCAAUUUUUCUUCUCCGAUUUGAUACGCUACCUCUCCCAUCACUUGGUAAAAUCUUUUGUAACUUUACUACUAAUUUUUUGAUUUGUUUUACUUGAUUCUGUAGUUUAUAAUUUGCUAGGAUCCAUAGCUAGUGAUUACUUUAUCACUACACUUCUAAUCCAUUUCUUUUUUUUUUUUUCUAGCCACUUCUAAUCAACUUCAUUACUUCAAGAAAUUGUGUUUUGAUUAACCGAGAGGUAACAUUAGUGAUUUGGAGUUGACAAAAACCUCUUUACCCACCAAAAAAUAAAUAAAAAAAAGAAGAGAAGAAACGUAUAAACCAUAUCUGCAAGAAUACCAAAUUCGCAAGAAUAAUUUUGUUUGUUGUCCUAUCAAAUGUUUAAAAAAGAACCCUACUGAUAUCAUCAUUUGACAUUCCCAAUUAGAGAAAUAAGCCACUUUCUUAAGCAUAGCUUAUUUGCUAACUAGAACUUCACAACGUUGCUCAAAUAUAAUAUGCUCUUGUCACAUAAAUAAAGUUCCAAUGAAGAUUAAUAAAUUAGUUAAAUUAGACAAAAAUUUCUUAUCACACAAAUUAUGCUUGAAAAGGGAGGAAGUAAUAGCAUGGUAGAAUUCAAAUAGAAAAUGAAAGAAAAAGAAAAAGAAAAUGAAAGCAGUCCUUGCAUUUACAGCGGUGGGCACUGAAGAUUUUGGUUUUAUUCUCUGGAUGAAUAAUUAGGCAUGACAUCUUUGACUGUUACUCUUGGUGGGCAAACACAAGCUCAAUUCCAUUUCGUCUUCUUGGAAUGGAAUCGGAAACAGAAUCUAAGAAAAAUACAAAAAGGGAGUAGGAUGGAAGGGGGAAAGGAAAAUUAACAAAAAGGGACGUAAGAAAUUGACAAAUAAGGAUUAAAACUGACAAAUAAGGCUUCUGCAGCUCAGUCCCUGCUACCAAGCAAGUUCAUUGAUGAAAAUGAUUGCCGACUUGAGAGUGACACGGAGUUCAUUUUGUUCUUUACGAAAAUGCAAUUGCAUGGGACUCGUUAAGUGAUUUGAAUUUUGACGAACAACAGUAUAAAGCACAACCACUCAUGAAAUGUAGCACACUUUUGUUGAACUCACAAAAUAUCUUGGAGCUGAAAUUUGUUCCAUAUCUGUAAGUACUCAUGGAAUAGUGGUUAGUUGAUAGAAAUUCUUGGGUAAAAACAUUUUUUUGUUAAAUCUUUUGACUUAUUGUCUCAAGCGUUAUGUUGACUAUAACAUGCCAAUCGUAAUCUUGAACUCAAGAUUGGGCUCAAUUCAUUAAUUAUUAUUAGUAUGAAGGAAAAUUUUAGGUGGAGGGUUACGAAAACUGAAAGCUAGGUUAAAUGCUGGUUAGACCUAGAAAAUUUCCCAAGGGUUUUGUGUUGUUAUAGGAUCUUUUCAGUUCUAGUCCCAGGCAUUACUUUGAGUUUACAGGGCCACAUUUAUCUCGAAUUAAGCUGAGCUCAACUCAUAAUUGAGCGUAAUUGAAUAUAAUGAACCCUUGAGCUCAAAUCAUAAUAUCUAAUUUAGCAUUACUUUGAGUUUGGCAAGUCAUUCAGCAUAAUUAUGCCUUGAGCUCAAAUCAUAAUCUGUAAUUUAGCUUUACUUUGACUUUAGCAAGUCGAUCUUUUCUAUUGAAUGUAGUUAUAGGAGUCUUGGAAGACUGACCGCCGAGGGUUGAGGAAAAUUAUUUUCUAUUUUGGGGAGAAAUGUAGUUUUUGUCCUCUCAAAUGUUUUGUACAUUUGUUAAAUUGGGACUCAAUGUUUUGACCAAAAUAAAUAUGGCCUCUUAAACUUUUGAUUUUAGACACAUAUAGAAUAAUUGAUAAAAAUCCAACAAUGAUGAACAGUUAAAAUCAAAUUGCCAUUAUCAACAAUUUUGACUUUUUUUUUUCCCACGCUAGUUGAAGUUUGAAUCAUUCUAGUCCUUUGAGUUUUAAGUAGUGAUAUUGAGGAUUUUAAAAUAAAAUGAUAAAUGCAAAUUAGAAUGAAAACACCUUCAAUGGGUAAUAGGAUUUAUAUCAAUAAAAAAGAUAUAGAAAAGUUAGUUAAACUUCAAAAAAAAAAAAAGCUAAUUAAGCUUCUUUUUUCUUCAUUUAAUUUUUUUUAUUUCACUUGUUCAUGCCCCUAACUUCACAGGAAUGACUAAAAAAACUCAAAUUGGUCUCAAAUUCGAUAUAAUACUUGUAAUUACUAUUUUUCCCUGUUGGUGAUUAUGUGACAAUGAGUACUUCUAUUAUUUCUUAUUUGUAAUGAUAAUUAAACGACUUAUUUGAAACAGAAGGAAUAUAUACUAAUUAAAAUUAAGUUGAUCCUUCUUUAUUGCAUUUUAAUAGGUUAUUAAUUGAGUUCGAAAAGAAGUAGGUAUUUUGUAAAAUUAUUGAACAAUUAUCAAAUAAAUGAAUAUUAAAAUAAAUAUUUCAAAACUUUGGUGUUAAAUCAUUGGAUUUUAAUAGGAAGGAAAAUAAGAAAAAAAAAAGAAGCUUUAUCAAGAAUUACUAAAAGUACUUUAUAUUAGUACCUAUAUUCAAUAGUUUCUAUAAUCACAAUUCUUAGUUAUUUUGAAGCCUACGUCGACAACUCAUGCAAGAUUUUGUGUAAUGGUACUUAUAAUAAACUUAUUUAUGAAAGCUAGAAUUCUCCCAUUCUUCAACAACUUAUUUUCAUUUUCUUAUUUAGUGUUAUAUAAUUGUAACUUACUUAACAAAAAGAUUUUCUUGAAGCUAAAUGUUGACAUCAUGCGCCGAUAUAAUUUUUUUUAUGAAAAAGUAUAUAGGGAUUUAAGAAUACAUUUGUCCUAUAUUUAAUUCAAUUUAGAAUUCAUUUCAUCUUAAAAUUAUUAUAACUACUUGAAAUCUAAGGAACCAUAGUAAUCGAAAUUCCAAAUAUUAUGGACUAAAAAUACAAAGUCAAAGCUUUUGACUAAUGAAAAAUUUUGAUCUUAAGCAUUAGUUAUUAUGAAAUUUUGUCAAUUCUCCUAAAUUUACCUAAAAUUAGAAUCUUUGGGGACUAAAUUUUUUAGCCUAAAUUUUUUAGUUUGGCAUACAGACCAAAUAUCAGGGACCGAAAUUAUAUGUCACCUUAUAUUUUGGGCAACUUACUAUUUAUUUCCCUAUCUUACUCUGUACCACAUAAUCCUCUUAUGGUACAAUAUGAUGUAUUUUAACCCGUCUAUGGUUUUCUGAACAGACAGGAAGUAUCUCGAGUGAUAUCAUUAAUUGAAAUACCAGUUAUACCCUCACUUAAUAUGAAACAUAAUAUGGAUUUAACCACUUUGUACAAAAUCAUGAAGGUAUUAUGUAGUUGGAUGUGAAAUCAUAGGGGUUAAGUGGACGUUAGGAUUUGACUGUGUGCCAAAUUUCAUGCUUCACAAGAAUUCUAGAGUGAGUCUAGAUCAAACAAUGUAACAGAGGUGCUUUAGGUCAAUAUACUGCUUUUAUAGAAAAUCACAGGGAAUCAAGUAGACAAUAUAAAAUAAUAGUGGGAUUGUAUGAUAAAAUGCAAAAUCAACUACAAGGUCAUAAAUAGUUAUUUACCCAUUUAUUUUGUCGUAAACAACAACAAACCCCAAUACCCUUUGAUUUGAUGGCAGAACCAAAGACUGCCCGUUGAGUGGCAAUUUGAAAUAAAAAAUAGUUCGGUAACUCUCAAAAUAGCUUAGUGGCUAUUUUUGUUUUUUUUUUUUGACCCUUUGUGCUUACUAUACAAAAGAUAGCUAUAUUUCGAUCGUUUUGGAAGUUAAAUUUCAUACACCAUCCCAACCCUUAAUAGCCUAGUCUUAGGAAUGGCCAAUACCUUUUCCCCUUGCCUAAAAUUCUUCCUCAGGAAACUAUAGGCAUUGUUGACAAUAAACUUACGGAAGAAGCAUGAAUCUUGUUUUGCCACAACUUUUGCUUCACCCAAAAGAUAAAACACACCUUGCUCUGAGGCUUUAUCCACAGCCUGUAGCUCAUCUUCCAGACCCAACUGAUUGGACCCUGCGGCAAGCCUGAUCGAGGAAUUGAUUGAUUUGGCCUCAUUGAAUGAUUGGAUUGAGUUUGACGAAUUUUGCGAUACACUUUGUUGUGCCUGUGGUAAUGAUUCCUCGAUAUGAACUACAGAUGCACUGGAUCGUCGAGGUUUUCCAUCUUUCAACAGCAAUCCUGAAUGUUGCUGGACGUUUACAAAAUCAGGCUCUAUAUGCCCACUUACAUGGACAAAAUACUCAUGUCUUAUGAACUCCUUCAAGUUCUCCACUAGCUGCUGCUCAAAAACCUCAGAAUCCUCGAUUCGGUCAUUGUAUCCAUACCUUACUACACAUCGAAAAACCCUGUAAUCUCUAGGCUCAAUUUGUCGAAACAGAAACCUUUCAUCCAAUGCCACUUUACUGACCGGGAUAGACUUGAUGGAAACCAGCACGAUGAUCGAGUGAACUGAGUGAAUGUUAGAAACAAAAUGGGGAAAUAUUGGUGGAAUACCCUGGACGAGUUCAGAAUACAACAAUCCAAUUCCAGGUGCUCUUUUUAUUUGUGGAUUUUUGGCCAAGUCCCUAACAUAGUCGCUGGAUACCUUGUUGUUGAGCUCAAACAAGUAACGCUGCUUGUGGACGUAAUGCCAGAUUCCCAUGAUUAUCAUCAAGACAAGUGCAAAAGCCAAAGGAAGAUAUCCUCCAUCUUUGAAUUUGUAGAGUACAGAUGACAGAUAUGUCAUCUCUAUGGACAUAAAUACCACAAAGAAUAUAGCAAUCCACCAUAUGCUUGCCUUCCAUAUCACAAGCAUAAUUAAUGUGAGUAGAGAAGUUGUUAUCACCAUGACAGCAACCACAGCAAUACCUGUAUCAGAAUGUUUGCUGUCACAAAAUAGAAUAAUCCAUAAUUCCACGUAUAUUUUACUUUAUUUUGUUUUAUUCUUUUGCUAUUUGACUCAACAACCAGAUGAAGGUCUCUGCAGUUUUUCAAAUAAGUUUGUCCCCAAACUUCAUUUCACUAGGAUCCUCCCGAUUUAUGGCAAAUGCAGGAUCCCUCUAUAUAUCAAUCAUAUAGUAUUAGCUCUGAAUAUCAGUUGUAAAAAUUCGAAAUUGUUUGUAAUUUAUUUCAUAGGUGAUAUAUGUAGUGUGCAAAAAUUGAAAUAUAAAAAAUUGAGUUCAAAUGUGGAACAAUCCUAGAUACUUUGUCAUUGAAAUGUUUUGUGCAUUUUAAAUAAGCCUCUCAAAAGUUGCAAUUGAAUCAAACAGCAAAAUAUUCUCCUGGUGAUCUAAUUUUUAGUAAAUCCUUCACUCAUCAAGAUAAAAACCAUGUUCUCGGAUCCUUAGUCAAGAAAUUAUACGUAAUUGCCAAAACCAAUGUUCAAGGUAAAAUGAACAAUUAAAUAAAUGGAAUUUACUGGACGAAUCCAAAUAUGUCAUAGAGCAUAUCCAUCCUUGAUUACUAUGUACUUCUAUUCUAAAUUCAAAAGUAUGGAAAUCGCGAUUACCAUAGGCAUUGCCGAUCUUUGUAGUAGAUUUGAAGCCCCAAGUAACCAGGACACAAGCAAUCAUGAGGAUGUAGUUGACCUCAGGAAUGUAAACCUGGCCCUCAUACUUGGCAGAAGUAUGAAUAAUUUUAGCCCUUGGGAAACAACCAAGACUAAGGGACUGAGAAAUAAUUGCAAAGGCUCCGGAUAUCAUAGCUUGACUGGCAAUAAUGGCUGCAGCCACGGCUAUAACGAAUGUAGGCCAAUAAAUUGGAUCUGUUUAUUCAGAUAUUCAAUUUAUUAGUAAGUUAUUGACAAGUGGUUUAUUCUUUACGAACAUGGUAGAAAUCUACAAAUUCUUUCCAUAAUCCAUGGCUAACGGUAGGCACUUGCCUGGAAUUGAAUCGUAGAAUGUCUUACUGACAUGAUCUUGAAACUUCAUCAGGUAUGCAGCUUGCCCUAUAUAAGCUGCUAGUAUAGCUGGGAACACUAUGCUGGAGAAACUGAUCUGCAGAAUUAUGGAAAAGUUGGAAGAUCACAAUGUAUAAUGUUCCCCACAUAUAUUAUCAGGAUUGGCAUUAAUUUUUCCUUCUAUGUAUUGUCAUUUUUCAGGAAUAAAAUUGGCAUGAAAUCAAGCUAGCAGUCACCCGUAAAUUUAUAAGCAAUCUUUUUUGUUUUGGAUAAUUGGUGAGUUUUAUAUAAACAAAAUAUAAGAAUUUACGAUCUAAUAGUCAAUUUUCUGUUCUUUUAUCUUUCCCUAUAAUUCUAAAAAGAUCAAGGGGAAUGUUUGACUCAAAAAUAACUUUAUAUACCCUAUGAGAUAACUAGCCAUAAAGUCAGCAGUUUGAUUAUAUUGACGAUACACAAAAUACACAGUCACCUCCAUAAAGCAUGAUAUUUUCUUUAUAUCAGAAUAUGCAGCUAAGUAGGCGGAGAUAAGCAUUAUUGGUCCAAAGAAUAUAUAAUUAGAAUCUGGUUUAUGUCUGCAACAACCUUGAAAAUGUGGUGGAACUCCACUUCAUGGCUCAGAUUGAGUUCGAGUAGCUUGAAUUUUUAAUACUAGGAGAUUUCAAAAUUUAUGCUUAUCCUGUUAAAAAAUUGCUGAAUAUGAAAAAUUGAUGGAAAGAAAAUCUUAUUUUAUCUUGUACAAUGAACUAACCUGAAUGAGGUCUUACGAAAUUAAGGUCAAAUUAAGAAACAAAUAGCUUAGUUCAUAUUUUAGGAGAGCGAAAUAAUUGGUGAUAUUUGACUAUUUGAGUGACAUACCUGAACGGCUCUCACGCUAAAGUGGCCCAAAUCAGCAAACAUAGCUUCAGUCCCUGAUUCAUGUGACCAUUUGCUGGUGAGGAUACACUAACUAGCCACAUUAUCCUAAUUGAAAUUGAGAGUGUUUAGCCACUAACCUGUAAUGCAUAGGACAACUCCACCUAGGGAUAUCCAUCCUUUCUUGCCAUUUCUUUUGAAGUAAUCAACAAUGUAUUUUGGAUUGAAAGCACGUAGGACCCCAACAUCAUGCUUGAACAAAUUAUAGAGGCCAAUACCAGAUAUGAACAAAAACCACAAGCAGAUUGCAGGUGCAAAUGUGAAGCCAACCUUGUCAGUUCCAAAGCGUUGGGCGCAGAAAAGAAUAAUCAAUAUCACAAUUGAAAUUCCCACGAUCGCAUCUGGAAAUUCAUUAAGUUUGUUAUGCAAACUUGGAGUACCAUUGCAUUACGUGUAAAUAUACGCGUGUACGGAAAUCCAAAUGCAAGUCUGUCUUAUGUAAAUGUAAUACCUUGGCCUAGGGAUGGAAUCCCGCUCACAGCGGAUAGAACUGCAAAAUGAAGACCAUGAGCAUUUUACGUAGUGUUAAUUGUUGUGUAAUAUAUUAAAUGUAAAAGCAAAGUUCAAGAUAACGUCCACAGGAUGAUGCCUCUAAAACCUUCCCAUGUCCUCUAGGGAAGGGACAUGAACAGCUGAACUUGUACGAUUUUGUCACAAAGAUGCAAUAUUUAGGUACCGUUCACUGAAACCAGUACAUAUCAAUCUUGUUAGAAUUACAUGGCCUGAUCUAAGACUUGCAUUUUUCCUUUUUGUGUUGGUCGCCAAAUCUUGGCCACCAAUCUAAGCUUUGUAUUUUAAUUGUUCCUACCCUUAUCUUUUUCGUCUCUACUACUGUUAGGAUGCUGAAUGCUUAUAUACAAUCACCAUUUUUCCAGAAUUUGAACAUUUAUAUCAAUGAUAUCUUUUUAUAAUGUCCUAUGACUGCCUUCAAUGAAAAAUUUACUGAAUUCUAUUCCUCAAAUUAUUUAGCAUAUUUCGAUCAACUUUGAAAGUAAUAAGUAUCCGGUGAUAAAGGGUCUGACCUGAAAUGCAGGGAGUGAGGACCCCAUCACCAAUUACCAUUGAAGUUCCAAGGAUGGUAACAAUGAAAAGCACCAUUUUCGCAUUGGUGCUGCUUUCAAGUUUUUCCUUGACCAUUUGAGCUCUUCUCAGCUGGUUGGAGGGUAUAUCCAACUUGUAGUUAGAAACCUCCCUGUCCUCUGGCUGGUGGUUUGGAAUUAGGCUCGCCUUCGCAUGUCUACAAAUCAAGGAGUAGAGAGCAAAUGUCCCGCCUGCAAAUGAACAUGCAUCACUUGUUGCAUUUUGCAAGAAUUGCUUAUUUAUGUAUCUUUCUUUUAGAUGUAAAACAACAGCAAAACGAUAUCAAGCUUGUCAUAAAUUUAAGAAUUAGGACCUCUGAAAUAGCUUGAUCAGAUAGUAUUUCCGUACUUGAAAAAGUCAAUUUUUUUUUUUUAAUAAAUAUGAUUACAAGUAACCCUUAAUGACCACAUGAAUACAUACCAACAACAACUUAACCUACUAAAACUGAUAACCUACGAAUAGUGGGAUGAAAACUAAGAUUUAAUCAAAAUAAACUUAGGAUUGAUUCUACUUCGCAUCUUUCAACUAUAUCCCAAUUUUCACUUUGGUUUCUAAAUUUUAAAAUGAGACACUUUGGUCACUAAAGGAUAACAUCCAUCCCACUUAAUUAAAGGCUCUGCUACUUUAAUCCAUAAACUAUAAAAUUAUGUAUACUUUAGUCACUUACUUAAAAGGCUAUUCCACUUUAGUCCGUAAUAUAUAAAAUCUUUCAUACUUUAGUCCUUAAAGUGAGACAGAUUUUAUAUUUAAGUGAAACAGAUUUAUACUUUAUGGAUUAAAAUAUGAAUUUUUUAAAAAAAUUUAGGAAUCAAAUUACGAAUUUAGAUAUGGUUGAAAGGUACAAAGUAGAAUUAAUCCCACAUUUUAAAAACUCAUAUCCAGUUUCUCGUUAGUUUGAUGAGCAUAAUUAACAACUCUUCUACAUGCACUAGGAAGUCAAAGGUCAUAAAUGUAUUCAAGUCAAAGGUUAAAUUUUGAGUUUUAUUGGUUGAUCUGCUUUACAUAAACAUAAGGGAUGAAUCAGUCAUGCCUGAUAUUUUUUCGAGAAACUGUUUAAAAACUGAUGAUAAUGAUGCUAAUGACGUUUAGCAAAGUACUUACCAUCACCUUUGUCGUUUGCCCACAAGACAAUAAAGACAUACUUGAUCAUGGGCACCAAAAUGAUGGUGUAGAUAAUGAGAGACAACACCCCAAGGAUGUCGUUUUUGUCGUCUAUUCCAUCAGGAAAAGUACUAGAAAAAACGUAUAGCGGAGAAGUCCCGAUGUCUCCAUAAAUAACACCUAGGCUUUGAAAUGCCAAACUCAACGUCUUUAUCCAACCUAAAUCCUGCAUUAUUAAGGCAUCAUUUGAUUAAAAUCCUAAUAUCUUUGGUAUUCUUCGACUAUACUUUAGGUUGUUUCGUAAAUUGAAAAAAGCCAAUUGCGCAAAGUUACGGCAAUAAGAUGCUCCACCACAACUACAUGUAGACAAAACUAAGCUAAAGAAGAAUAGAAUGGUGGACAAAUGGUAUAAAUAAUAACAUUAUAGCGAGAAUAAAACUUUUCUUUUUAAAGAGUACAAUUAAACCACAAUUAGGGAAUAAACAUACACAUAUCCUUAAAUUUCAAGUGACAAGAUUACAAUUUCUCCCAAAAUAUGAAAUAGAUAUUAUAUUAACCUAAAUUAACAUUUGUAAUAUUUGAGUUCAGUACCUCUUAUUUCUGAACUUUGAACUUUUUUUCCAUUAUUUUAUUAUCAAUUUAAGAUCUUAUUAGCAUGAGAAAACGCUCUAGGCAUGGAUAGCUUUGAAACACAAAUUUUAUCUUUGCAAAAUUGAAUACCAAAACUCAUGGCACUAAUUUAUGAUUUAACUUUUGGGAUAAUUUUAGAAACCUCUCCUAAGGUUUCAAACAAUUUAACUGAGUUCACCUAAGGUUUGAAAAAUUACACUUACCUCCCUUGAUUUGAUAGUUUUAGAAACAAAACCUUAAAAUACUAUUGACUUGGACAAUUUUUUAAAUGAAUAUCUAAAAAUGCCCUUGUGAAAUGAGUUUUAAUUUAUUUUCCUAUACAAUUAUAAGAUUAUUUAGUAUAAUUAUAAGGAAAAGGUGCCAAAUUUUUUAUGUCCAUAUCUAUUAUUUAAUAAACAACUAUAAUAAUACUUUUAUUACUAUGAUAUGAUAUUUUUGAUGGUGUUUUAUUACAGAUUAGAUUUAUAGGAUAGAAAAGAAAAUGUUGAAAUAAUUCAUUUAGAGUUUAUAAAUUUUUGGAGUAGUGGGAUUCUCAUAAUUUAGUAGUGCUUUUGGACCAUUUCUUUUUUUAUUUAUUGUUAAUUUUAAUACCAAAAAUAGAAAACAAAGAUCAGCAAAAAUAUUAGAUUACAUAUAAAAUUAAUUCAUCAAAAAAAUAACUAAUUGGACAUUAAACCUAGAGGCAAUAGUGGGUGUUUUACAGUUUUAUUGGCGAAAAAUUAAAAAAAGGAAUAAAAAGGAAAAAGAAUGAAAAAAUUAUUUUAAAACCCAUUCUAAGUAUAAGCAUACCAAGCAAGAGAAAUUCAUUAAAAUAUUUAAGGGUGAAAUUAUCAUUUUAAAUAACAAGAGAGAUAUGUGUAAUUUUUUAAAUCUCGGGGGAAUUCAAUGAAAUUGUCAAAAACCUUAGGGGAGGUUUCUGAAAUUAUCCCUUAACUUUUCAUAAUCAAUUUAGAAGUAGAAAGAGAUAGAAAAAACCGAAAAAAAAAACUAGAAUAGGCAGGUGGACUAGUACUAUCAAUAGGAAUUAACCUUGGAGCCGUGGCCGCCAUGAUGGCCGGAAAUUCUACCGGCCUCCAAAUCAAGAGAGUCGAUGCGGCGGAGUUUGCCCCAUGAGAAUUUCCGGUCCUUGAUAUCGGUGAUGGUUGUUUUGGUGGCGCGUUGAUCUUGAAUGGCCUCCCGAUGAACAACUACUACUUGCUCACGGGGAGCUAUAGAGCUCCCAAUCCCAGGAUUAGCAGCCAUUCCUCUAAUUUCUUUCUUACAAUUAAAUUUUCUUUGGGAUCACUCCAAUUUUCCCCUGCAUUUGAAUUAAGCGAUUUGCAUGGUUUCAUAUGGCUUUUAUAGUACUAGAAUAUACCAUGUACUAGGUAGUGCUUACAAAGUACCUAAAAAAAUAUACCAUGUACUAGUUAGCACUUACAAAGUAUCUUAAUUUUUUAAGCUUCCUUCAAUCAGGGGUUGUUUAAAAGUCAGCUCUUAAUUGAUUUGUCCUCUGAGUCAAAAAUGAAUAUAAAAACUUGUAAGCAUUUCUGAAUUCAGUUUGCUCCUUCACCCAAUUCCGAAUGUCCAAUGUCUCUGUUCAUGUUGCUUCGUCAACUUCUACCUCCUCUCCUUUGGUUCAAUUAUUGUGCUUAAUCAAUUAAUUAACAGAUGGUGGCCAACUUGUUAAUUAAUUUACCAGCACUAGUACUAUAAAUUAAGGAAUUAUUACUAGUUUUUUAAUGGAUAAAUAAGUAUUCCCUUUCCCUACUCUUAACCUUCUCUCCACCAUUCUUCGUCCAAAGAAGAAAAAUCUUAGUCUCAAUUUAAGGUCUCCCUUCCUCUUCCUCUGCUUUUUUUUUUUUUAAUGUUUAAUAAACUCUCUCCUACAGUAUCCUAGUAAGAGUUUUCUCUUGCCUAAUGUUUACUAGUGAGAGUUUUUGUCUCUAUCUCCUAGGCUAUUCUAGUGGAAGUUUUGUUUAGUUUUUUGUUUGUUAUUAUUUUCUCAAAUCUAAGAGUUUUUUUUUUCAGAUCUAUAUGUUAGAUAUAGAAUUUCUUGGAUCUUUUUGUCAUAUCUCAACAUUAGUUUGGAAUUUGAACUAGUUGAACAACAGAUCAGAGAGAAUAGACAUGGACAUGCAUUGUAAUUUAUGGAGCAGCCUGUGUACUUAGUCAAAUUUAAUGAUUUUUUAUUUAUAGUGUAAUUUUUAUAUUUUAUAAUUUUGUUAAAUCUAAUGCUUUUUCAAAUCAGAUAUAUAUGUGAUACAUUUUACGUAUUUUCUACCAUUAAUACAGUUUUCUUUGACAAGCAAAAUCAUACUAGACAAUUUCUAACUAAUUUAUUAAUAAUAUUGACUUUUGUCUUAUAUAAAAAAAAAUAUUCUCUUUCCCUUAUUUCUACUCUUUGGGCAUCGACAUUCGCGUUCAUGUACUUAAUUUCGUCAUUGAAAGUCCGCUAAUGGAAUCAUAAUCAGUAUUUUAAUCAUAAGAUUCUGCCAUGAAUCUUGGCAUGAACUGGCUUUGGAUGAAUUCAACAUUCAAGCUUAAAUUCUUAAAGCAGUAAUUUUAGAUGGUGAUCCAGUGUGCAUCAAUUUCUGUUUUAUAUUACUGAACGAACUAUCAGCAUUAAAGGAAGGUACUAAACCUAAACCACUCUAUCCCAUAUUCACAACAUUGAUGCCUCAAUGAUUACAGUUAGGGUCCGUUUGUUUCGGGUGAAAAUGUUUUCCAAGAAAAUAUUUUCCUAAUUUCCCGUGUUUGGUUGCACAAAAGUUACUGAAAACAUUUUCCUAUGUAAAAUAUUUUCACUCAUCUUAUGGAAAACAACUUCCCUUCCAAACUUACUGAAGUUGUUUUCCGAAAUGCAUGUAUCCCGCCUGUAGUAUGUUCCAAACUUACUGAAAACAUCUUGUAGUAUGUUUUUUUUUUUUUUUUUUAAGUGUAAACAGGAGGACUCGAACCCAAGACCUCUUCCUUACACUCCCUCCCCCGUACCACCUAACCCAACCCAACCCUCCCCCUAGUAUAUUCAAAAUAAAAAAAAAAUCUCAUCCUGCUCAUCCUAUGCUAGUAAUUAAUUAUGUAUAAUAGGGACAUUCUUUUCUAGAGCAACUUUUAGCAGUGAGAGUGCAAGAUAUAUGUCACAAUAAGCAUUGCAUGUGAUUGAUAUUUGACACUAAAUGGCCAGCAAUUUGUUUAUUGCUUAAGGAGAUAUUUUUUAUUCAUAUAUACGUUUCUCCAAGAUUUUUUAAAAUUAAACAAUGAGAUAAAUUUUCUUAUUUUGCAUGGGAAGAAGUAUGUAGUUAUAAUGUGUAGAAAGUAAAGAUAGAGAUAAAAGUGAAAAUAUUUCAAAAGUUAAACAAACACCAGAAAAAUGAAGUAAGAAAAUAUUUUCAAUAAGCUAACCAAACACCUGAAAAUGAUGAAAGAGAAAUGAUUUUCAUGGAAAAUUACUUCCACGGAAAAUAUUUUCCCAAGGAAAACAUUUUACUUCCAACCAAACAGACCCUUAAUAUUAAAACUUCUACGAAGUGCUAAUUUUAGUUGAAUGGACGUGGAUUUAGUGUUUGUUAUUAUUAAUCUCAUUUUGCAGGAUGGAAUUUAAAUAAGCUAACAAUAUCUGAGUUAUUUGAAGAUCAUACAUUUUCAAAGAGUUAGUAAUGUUAAUCUACUCUUUAAAUUUUUUCUCUUUCUCUCUAACUUCCUCCUCUUCCUUUGAACAAAACAUCACCUUCUCUCUAACUAUAUCCGACUAAUAGUUUUUUGUUUUGGUGUAUAAUAAAGUCUUUUUUAAAAUUCUUAACGAGAGUAUUCUUCUCUUUUAGGAUGACAGGUUAUCGAAGCCUGUACAAUAAUAAAAUUUAACCUAAUUGCCAGUUAAAAUAACCAAAACCCAAUUCCAAGUACUAGAGCAGGGACUCUAGGUGUGCAAUGGGUUACUUGAUUCACCAUAUUCCCAAAGAGUUUGCUUAAUCCGAUAUACCCGAAUAGGAUGGCUUUUUUUACAAAUAAUUAUGAAUUUGUAGACAGGGCAAGUAGGAUCGUAUCCUCAGGGACUGGGGAUAUUUGUCUCUUAAGAAAUUCAAAAUAACACAGGGGGUGAUUUUGUAUGAAUGACGACAAUCAAAGAAACUCGAAUAAGAAAAUAAAAAUAAAUAACUAACUAGAAAUUAAAUGACAAUUCACUAAACUUAGAGUAACAAUAAUUAAAGGUCUAAAAUAAUUAAAACAAGAAAAUAAUUAAAAAUAAAAUAAAAUAGGCAACUAAAAAUCAAAUGGCAAUUCACUAAAAUCAAGGUAAUGAUAACUAGAGGUCUAACCAAGAAAUAACUUCAGCAAUGGUUCACCUAAUUGAUCAUCGAUACAAAUGCAGUUCCAAUUAUUUACUGAUAAAUAGGUUAUAACAGCCAAACAAGCGCUGACAGUCAACCCUUCCUUAGUGUGUCGGUGAUUAAGGCACGCCCGUUAAUCACUGCUCUAAUUGAGAGAUAACCCUAGGUACGCCCGUAAGAUUUAAUUCCUCAAUUGCCUUACGUAUUAGAGGAGUCCUAUUCUAACCAAAUAACGCACUACCAGGGUUAUUUCAGAUUAGCCCGCGUAUCCCCCUAACACGAAUCUAAUCGUGCCAGUUGUCACUAUUUCAAGACAAUUAAACAAUUACGGACUUAAAUGCCUUAAUUGACAAUAGAUUACCAAAUUAACUAAUUAUUCGGAUCCAAGACAAUCAAUUAAUUAAAUAACCAUAAGCAUAACAAUCAAGAAAAAUGCGAAUACCAAUAAAUAAAAGAAAAAUAUUAAAUUAAAUCGAUCUUACAAUUUUUUAGGCGACCCAAAGCAUCCGUUGUUUCUUGACUAGAGUGAAAAAAUUAAUUCAUAUUUGAUGAACAAAGCCCACAGGAAAUUGAAGCAACAGUAGCGGCCAUUGACUCCAAAAUUAAGAAAAUUCAAUUCGCUUCGGCAAUGAAGGAAAAGUCAAGAUUACAAAGAAUGCCCAAUUGCUUUUCUUUGCCUUCACAUCUGAUGGAAGCAAAGGCACAAUAGGACGAAAAGAGGAAAAGUCAAAAAGGGAAAAAGAACUCCCCAAAUAGUCCCCCUUCUUUUUGACAAAAAAAAAAAAAAAAAUAGUCCCCCUUCUGCUAUGUGUAUUUCCUAUCUAAUACUACUGUCUCCGUCUCUUCUUUUUUUCUUUUCUUGCGGCGGCUCCACAAGGAAUAGAAGACCAAGCCCUCCGUCCGUCCUUGCUUUCGCAGAAAUUACCAAAAUAGGCGUAACGUCUUCUUUUUCAAAGAUACCCCUGGCACAAAUUCUAUCAUUUGGACUCCUUUUCUGCUAAAUUUAAUCCACAUCAAAUCAGGUAAUAAGGGAAAUUAAUAAUAAAAUAAAUGAUAAAAUCGUAACCUAUUAAUUCCCCACACACCUAAACCAUGCUUGUUCUCAAGCAUAGGAACAGUAAACAAACACCAAUAUUUGACAAUGGCUAUUGCUCUAUCUCCCAAAUUGCCAAGAUACCAAGAAAAUCAUAAAUCAAGCAUCAGUGAUAAAAAUCCGAGAAACAUCACCCCGGUUAGCUUCUAAACCACAAACUCCUUCAAUUCCAAGUUAACUAAUCUAAGAAAAAGAAAUAACGCAUAACAUUUAUCAGCGAAUGGUCCAAAUAUUAACCAAAAUCUCAACAUUAAAUCCCUAAAUUGGCAAGCUGACUUUUAUCACACACUAACACAACCUUCACUUUUUGUUUUUCAUGUUUUCUAAUUUUUUUUUGACGAAAAGCACAAAAGACUUAGUCUCUAACCAUUGGAGCCUUUUGACACGAACUCCGAUAUUUUUCAAAUGAAGGAAUCCGGUUACUCAGCUCUUAUCGCUAUACGACCACGUACUCAUAGAAAUUACUAUUUUUUGAUGCGAAAAUCGACACUUUAGGUGAAAAACCCCAGUUACUCAGUAGUAAUGACUAGCGGAGUACAGUCAACUUUAUUUCACAGCCAGAUAACACAAUAACUCAAAAUAACAUAGCAAAAAAAAAACAAAAAUAGCAGCCGCUAGCCUCAUUUCUUCAAAUAUGGAGAACUAAAGUUAAUAUUGGACCAAUUCACAUGAAAAUACUAACAGUCAUUCCCUAUGCCUAGAAAAGUUAAAAAGAAAUCAAAAGAGUCAAGUAGUCAUCGAUAUUCACCAAAGAGAUGUUUUGGAUUCAACCAUAUUAACUCGAUACACUUUAUUAUUAAAACUUGGCAAGAGUAGAUUUAGAGUCAACGAUCCAACAUCAAACUUUGGCAUUCAUAUGAGAGCUCAUCACUAGAAAGAAAGAAAGAGACUAAGUGAAAAUGAACAAAUAACAAACUAAAAAUAAAAAACAAACAUCUAAAAACUGAAAAUUAGAAAAACUGGCACCCCAACUGAUCCAAUUCCCCCCACACCUAAACGAUACAUUGCCCUUAAUGUAGCAAAUGAAUAUCAAAAGUAGAAGAAAUGGCAACAAAACUCCCCUGAAAUCGGGUCAAAGUGGUAGGCGGGACGGGACUUGGGGUGGAAAACCCGUGUGCUGCAUGAAUGCCGCCAGAUUUUGUGCCAUGGCAGCCACAUUGUUGUCGAUGUUAAUCAUCCAAGCCUCCAAAUUCUCAAUCUGCGUCCGGAGCUGGCGCCAGUUCUUAGGCCCCUGGUGGUGGAAGGGGAUGAUCGGGGGUCGACGGGUCGGGCUCAUUGCCAACCGGGACCGAACAGGUAGAAGAAGAGCGAGGUGGGGCGUGGCUGUUGACAGCGUGCGAGGGAAACAGAAAGGGUUGCGCACUUGGCCAAGUGGGCAGCUGAGAGGGAGGGAGGGAGGCUACAGUGGAUAGCAGUGGCGAGAGGAGGAGGCAGACGGGCUGGGGAAGAAAAGGAGAGCUCGCGCGAGGGCUUCAGGUCGCGGCCAGGAAAGAACGGCAGCGCUUGAGCUGGUCGUCGCUGGUGGAGCUUGGCGCGGCGGAGCAAGGCGCGCGGACAGUGAAGGGGACGGUGGCGCUGGUGCUGCGACGAGCUGGUCCUCCGCGGCUGCGAGAAGGACGCGAGGAUGGUGGUGGUCGUCGGCGUUGUGGCGAGUUGCUUGCCAGUGGCAGCGGCGACGCGUGGAGCAACGGGUGGAGGGCAAGCUUCAGCAGCGGCAGCGCGCGAUGGGCUCAAUCGAGCGAGAAGAAGAAACAGCGGAGAAGAAGAAAGAAAGAAAAUAGGAAGAAAGAAAAAGAAAGGAAAGAAAGAAAGAAAGAAAAAAGAAAGAAAAAGAAAGAAAAGGAAAACAAAAUAGUUUUUGUGUGUUUUUUAUUCCUCUUUUUUUUUUCCUUUACGGAAAGUUUUUUUUCAACUUUAUUAUUUUGUUUUUAUUUUUUAAAUUGAAAAAAUUUUUGUUUUUAUAAUAAUAACUUUUUAUUUUUAUUUUAUUAUUUUUUUAAUAUCAUUAUUAUUACAAAACUUAUUUUUGAAAUUAAAAAUUAGAGAAUAACAGAAAAUCAAUAACCGUUCUUGAAUUCUUUUGAAUACUUACUUUUCCCGCGAACGUGACGCGGGCACGUCAAGAAGGCACAGAAUGAGGAGCUCUCCAGGUGACUUGACGCGGACACGUCAUGAGGACAAGAACCCCUUCUGACGAAUUUGACCAUGAGCUCUUCAUGGGACUUGAUGCGGGCACGUCAUGAGGAUCGAAACCCUUUUACUAAGCACCAGGAAAUUGCAAUGUGCCACGCGCCCAGUUGACGCGGGCGCGUCAUGUUAGAGGGAUACCUAUGAAUCAUCAAAAACAAAAAUUGAAGCCAGAAGUCAGUCAAAUUCAAGGGAAACAUAUUUAAAUUAACAAAUAAAAUCGAACAAACAAUUAAAAAAAAUUGGAUUGCCUCCCAAUGAACGCCUUUCUUUAAUGUUUUUGGCUAGACAUUGAACACCACUCUUCAAUUUGGGUGUAACUCAAUUUUCCUGAAAAUCGGUGGCCCUUCUCUAGGAUCCAAAUAGCCUUUGAGUACAGCUUUCUUUCUUAAUUUCCUACUCCUUUUCACCUCAUACAGUGCUUUCAUCCCCUUAUACUUGUUCUCAGUAAAUUUGAAUUUGUCCCUACAAGCAAACUCAGAAAAUUCUUGCACAAAGAGAUUAAUAGCAUGAAUAGCAAACACAGGGUGAGAGCUAACAGGAUGUUCCAUUGUAUCAAAAAUAUUAAAGUGGACUAGUUCUCCAUCAAAUUUCAUGGAUAAUGUACCCUUAUUAACGUCAAUUUUUGUCUGUGCUGUGCUAAAAAAGGGUCUACCUAGUAGCAAAGGUGAGAAGUCAGGGGAAUGAUCAUCAUCUAUGUCAAGUACAUAAAAGUCAGCCGGGAAUAUCAAUUCAUUAAUUUUAACCAGCAUAUCCUCGACCAACCCAUCAGGGUAUGCAUUUGUUCGGUCAGCUAAUUGAAUUAUUAUCUCGGUUUCUUUUAAUGGACCGAGGUUCAGAGAAGCAUACAUAGAUUUAGACAUUACGUUGAUCAAUACUCCUAAGUCCAGCAGGGUAUUUCUAAUCAAAGUAUUACCUAUCUUACAUGGGACAGUAAACCUACCUAGAUUCCCACACUUUGAUGGUAGCUUCCUUUGGAGAACUGCUGACACAUUCUCCCCCACGAUGACCCUUUCAUCUCCCCUCAGUCGUCUUCGAUUGACACAUAUGUCCCUCAAAAAUUUUGCAUACUUCGGCACUUGCUUGAUGGCGUCUAAUAGGGGAAUAUUGAUCUCUACCUUGCGGAACACCUCCAAGAUCUCCUUCUUCUUGUCCUGCUUUUUUGGUUUUUUCAAUCUGCUAGAAAAGGGAAGCGGGUUAGUUUUAACUAUAAUGACUGGGUCGGGAAGUACCUUUGGAUUUGUGCCACUGCUGUCCUUCUUCUCAAGCUUGUUUUCGACCUUUUUCUCAUCCUUGUCCUUUGGAAUCAUGAGUUCAGGCCCCUGAAUUUCCUUCCCGCUCCUUAAAGUCAUUGCACUUACAUUCUUCAGGUCCAAUUCAGGUUGAGAAGGCAAUUUUCCAAAAACUUGGGAUUCAAGGCGAUUGAUUGCCACUGCCAUCUGACUUAGCUGAUUUUGCAUUACUGGUAUCUGGUCCAGUUGAUUUCUCAUACUUUGUAGGUCAGAAUCUGUCUUUUGUUGAUUAGCAAUUAAUUGGUUCAUCAUCUCUUCUAUAGACGGGCUUGAGUUUGAAGGGGAUAGUGGAGGACGAGAUUGGUACUGUUGUGGGUACCCUUGCUGCCUGUUUGGUGCAAAAUUCGACUGCUUAUAUCCUCCAUAGCUGAGGUUAGGAUGAUCUCUCCAACCCGGAUUGUAUGUACUCGAGUAUGGGUCGUAUGGCUGUCUUGGCGAGGGCACGUGGCCAGCUAUGCUCACCUGCUCUGCAGUUUCUUCCUGAACCAGUGGACACACCUCUGUAAAAUGACCCACGGCAGCACAUACCCCACACACUUUGGCUUGUGAGGCACUUCCUACAACUAAUUGUCGCACGAAGGAUGUCAAAUCAAAAAUUUGCUGCUGGAUGGAGGAUGUUUCUACCUCAUUCACCCUACGCAUUGGGACAUCCUCCCCGUACCAAACUGCUGCGAAUUCUCAACCAUUCCUUCAAUUAGCUCCCAUGCUGCCCGAGGAGUCUUGUUCACUAACGUCCCUCCACUUGCAACAUCGAUUAUACUCUUGUCCCUGAAAAGUAGGCCCUCAUAGAAGUAUUGAAUGAGCAAUUGCUCACUUAUCUGGUGCUCGGGGCACUUGAUGCAAAACUUCUUGAAUCUUUCCCAAUACUCAUAGAGGGACUCGCCUGGGUGUUGCUUGAUACCGCAGAUUUCCUUCCUUAGACUUGCAGCUCGAGACGCCAGAAAAUAUUUGUCCAAGAAUUUUUUUCUUUAGCUGGUCCCACGUGGUGAUACUACCUGGUGGCAGGUAGUACAGUUAGUCUUUUGCAGAGUCCUUUAAGGAGAAGGGGAAUGCCCUCAUUUUUAUCUGCUCUUCUGUAAUACCUGGGGGUUUUAUGUUGUUGCAAACUACAUCAAACUCUUGCAGGUGUUUAUACGGCUCCUCACCUGGUAAACCAUGGAAUGAUGGUAAAAGAUGAAUUAGAUCAGAUUUUAAUUCAAAUGGAGUGUUAUCAUUUAAAUUUGGGAAAGUAAUGCAUAGAGGUUGCUGAUUUAAAUUGGGAGCAGCCAACUCCCUUAGUGUUUGUGCAUUCGCCAUGGUGAAUUCCUCCUGGUUUGAAUCACUUGAGUUAUCAACACGCAAAUCCAUUGACUCAACCUCUAGAUUAAGUUCUUGAGAUGCAACACUGGAUUGCUCCUCUCUGAGCUGUCUGUUUCCUUUCUUGUCCUACGCGCAGUCUUUUCUACCUCAGGGUAAAAAAUUAAUUCACCUGUACGAAAAGAACGAGGCAUGCACUAGAAGAAUACCAGGAAAUUAGAGCAAAAAAUGAACUCAAAAAGAAACAAAUAAUAAUGCCAGUCCCCGGUAACGGCGCCAAAAAUUAACAGGUUAUCGAAGCCUGUACAAUAAUAAAAUUUAACCUAAUUGCCAGUUAAAAUAACCAAAACCCAAUUCCUAGUACUGGAGCAGGGACUCUAGGUGUGCAAUGGGUUAUUUGAUUCACCCAGUUCCCGAAGAGUUUGCUUGAUCCGAUAUACCCGAAUGGGAUGGCUUUUUUUACAAAUAAUUAUGAAUUUGUAGACAGGGCAAGUAGGGUCGUAUCCUCAGGGAUUGGGGAUAUUUGUCUCUUAAGAAAUCCAAAGUAACAUGGGGUAAUUUUGUAUGAACGACGACAAUCAAAGAAACUCGAAUAAGAAAAUAAAAAUAAAUAACUAACUAGAAAUUAAAUGACAAUUCACUAAAUUUAGAGUAACAAUAAUUAAAGGUCUAAAACAAUUAAAACAAGAAAAUAAUUAAAAAUAAAAUAAAAUAGGCAACUAAAAAUCAAAUGGCAAUUCACUAAAAUCAGGGUAAUAAUAACUAGAGGUCUAGCCAAGAAAUAAUUUCAGCAAUGAUUCACCUAAUUGAUCAUCGAUACAAAUGCAGUUCCAAUUAUUUACUGAUAAAUAGGUUAUAAUUGCCAAACAAGCGCUGACAGUCAACCCCUCCUUACUGUGUCGGUGAUUAAGGUACGCCCGUUAAUCACUGCUCUAAUUGAAAGAUAAUUCUAGGUACGCCCGUAAGAUUUAAUUCCCCAAUUGCCUUAUGUAUUAGAGGAGCCUUAUUCUAACAAAAUAGCGCACUACCAGGGUUAUUUCAGAUUAGUCCGCAUAUCCCCCUGACACGAAUCUAAUUGUGCCGGUUGUCAGUAUUUCAAGACAAUUAAACAAUUACGGACUUAAAUGCCUUAAUUGACAAUAGAUUACCAAAUUAACUAAUUAUUCGGAUCCAAAACAAUCAAUUAAUUGAAUAACCAUAAGCAUAGCAAUCAAGGAAUAUGCGAAUACCAAUAAAUAAAAGAAAAAAAUUAAAUUAAAUCGAUCUCACAAUUUUUUAGGCAACCCAAAGCAUCUGUUAUUUCUUGACUAGAGUGGAAAAAUUAAUUCAUAUUUGAUGAACAAAGCCCACAGGAAAUUGAAGCAACAGUAGCGGCCAUUGACUCCGAAAUUAAGAAAAUUCAAUUCGCUUCGGCAACGAAGGAAAAGUCAAGAUUACAAAGAAUGCUCAAUUGCUUUUCUUUGCCUUCACAUCUGAUGGAAGCAAAGGCACAAUAGGACGAAAAGAGGAAAAGUCAAAAAGGGAAAAGGAACUCCCCAAAUACUCCCCCUUCUGCUAUGUGUAUUUCCUAUCUAAUACUACUGUCUCCGUCUCUUCUUUUUUUCUUUUCUUGCGGCGGCUCCACAAGGAAUAGAAGACCAAGCCCUCCGUCCGUCCUUGCCUUCGCAGAAAUUAUCAAAAUGGGCGUAACGUCUUCUUUUUAAAAAAUGCCCAGACUCUAUCAUUUGGACUCCUUUUCUACUAAAUUGGCACUUGUUAUCAUAUUUUUGUUAUACUCCCUGAAAUAAGCGUAAAAUAUUAAAAGUAAGUAGAAUUUAACAAUUAAUCCAUAUCGGAUCAGGUAAUAGGAAAAAUAAAUAAUAAAAUCGUAACCUAUCAUAGGAUUUCUUAAAGAAAGCUUUCUUUUACACUAGAGUAUUCUAACGGGAGCUUUGUUUCUUCUAAGUUUUUAGCAAGAGUUUUCUUGCAAUUUUUUCCCCUUGUUACGUAUCAUUUUUCUUAGAUUUAGUUAUCAUAUCUAAAGUUUCUGAAGUCUGCUUUGUUAGAUCUUAACAAGAUAUUUGAAUUUGAAACAGUUAAUUUAGCUGUAAAAUAUGUGUACAGAUAUUCACUGGGUUCAGAGAAGUUGAUAUCAAUUUGUUGAAUAUUUUGAGUUUUUGAAUGUUAUUUUUGUUUAUUUCUCAAGUAUGAUGCAUCUCUAGAUCUUAAAAUUGGUUCUCUCUGUAGAUGUCGGAUAUUUCUUCUGUUAUUAAUGCAAAUUUCAUGAAUGAAAGUAUGAUUUUUAUUAAUAUAUAUAGACAUUGUUUAGAGAAAUAUAUAUAGACAUUGUUUUGCACAACCUAUGCUGUAGGAUUUAAAUAAGAAUAAAUCUUAUAUAUACUGAUUGGAUCUAUGACAUAUAUGCAAAAAUUGAAUUUUAAAUACAAAUUUUACAUAAUUAUCAUUAAUUCAAUAUUGACAAUAUAUAUAUACAUUGUUAGUUUAGGAAAAAUUAAUUCUUCAAAACUAUAAUAGCAUAGCAAAGAAACAAGAACUCCCUGUAGUCUGGACCCAGGAGUGGAUACUAAAAAGUUGAUAACUUCGUUACAAGAUAUACAAAGGGUACAACUGGACCAUCUGCAAAGUGUUAGGGCCUAAGAGCCAAUUUAGGACAAGUGCACAACUAACCCCACCAACGAAGCUCUUUGCAAGUCAAGCACACUAUCGAAUGGGGGAGAGGCUCUAUGAACGUAUACUAAGGCUUAUGGUGGAAAUUAAACGAUUAUAUUAUUUUCAAUUUUUUUAAAAGCCAAAUUCAAAAUUUUAUUGAUCAUUCAAAACAACUGAGCUCCAGGAGUACCCAAAAAAAAACCAUAAAUACAUCAAACGCACUGUUCAAACUGCCAUACUCAAACCCCCAAAAAACAACAAGUCUACAUCUUCCUACACAAAAAUUUUUUGAUCUAGAUUCCAACUAAAACUAAUUUCCCAGUUUCUUCUUGAUCUCUCCACUUUCUUCCAUGAAAAAACAGCAAAUUUCACAUCAUUAGUGAUUCUUUGAAUAACAAGUUCCAUAGGCCAUAAUGAUUUCUGAAAAAUAAAGUGAUUCCUAAUCCUCCAAAUAUGGCAAACUGUAGCAGAUAAGGCAAGUAAACAUAGUUUAUUAUAAAAUGAACCAGAAGAACAAUGAUGAUACCACCACUCCAGUUCAUCUUUCCAGGGGUUGAAUUUGGUUGAGUUGGAUUAAAUAUAAAACUUAAUCUCCAUAAUCUUUUGCACCUCAAUUUACGUGCAGUAUUUGGAUGGUUAUUAGAGUUGACAUUAUGACAAAGAUUACCUUCUGACAUUAUAUGAUGAAAUAUGAUCAAAUUAAUCACUUUUUUGGCACAAUGAAGAUCAACUAAGAUAUGGAUUAUUAAUUGUCCAAGGUGUUAAUAAAAAUAAGUUAUAUUUUUUUAAAAAAAUAUUUUGUUCUUUUUUGUGAAAUUAGAUAGAUUUUAGAUUUUGGUUUAUCAAAUAGUAUGAAAUUCCUCACGUCCAAUAUGUUAGAUGGAAACAACUCUCCUUGGUCUUUUUCAGAUUUGUUUAGAUUUGUUCAAGGGCAAAAUUGUCAAAUAAAAUUUUAUAUAAUCCGAUCUAUAGUCCCUCACAUUUUACAAUAUGAAUUGUUUCAUCCCUCACAUUUUACGAAAUAAAUUUUUUCGUCCCUCAUAUUUCACAAAAUAAAUUUUUUCAUCUCUCAUUAACCAUGUGUAUAAAUAGCUUUUUAUUAAACCUAUGUAUGUUUUUAUUUAAUUUUACCUGAACAGUACGAAUAGCAUGUAAUAUAUCUCUGUUUGAUUUCAUCUAAAUAGAUUAAUUAUAGUUGUACAUAUGCUAUUCAAUAUUUAUAUACAUGGGUUUAAAACUAACAAUUUUAUUUUAAACCCAUGUAUAUAUCUAUUUGAUUUCACCAUGUGAAUCUGUUCAAUAUUCUCUUUUGAAAAUAAUUCAUUUAUUGAGUUGUAUAAUGAGACCAUUUAUUUAAUGGUCAUAAUUCGAAUUCUAUAGUCAUGCUAACAAAUUGCAGUUUAAAUUUGAAAUUUCUGCUCGCCACUUUUAAGUCCAACAGUUGAAUUACAUGCCGUGUGAUUAUUUUAAAAUUUGAAAGUACCAAUUACUUACUAUUUUUUGUCAUACUUUUCCUUUAUUUAUUUUUUCUGCCCAAGUUCAAUUCGAUGUAAACACUUGACAAUAUUCAGGAUUAAAUGUCUUCUUUGUUUUCAAUUUUUGAGUAAAAGGAAAUGAACAUGAGUGAAAAACUAACAAGUUUUUUCAACCCAUAUAUAUAUAUAUAUAUAUAUAUAUCUAUUAGAUUUCACCUGAACAGUACGAAUAACAUGUAAUAUAUCUCUAUUUGAUUUCGUCUAAAUAGGCUAAUUAUAGUUGUAUACAUACUAUUCGUAUUAUUCAAGUGAAAUCAGAUAAAUAUGCACAUGGGUUUAAAAAAAAAAAACUAUUCAUACACAUGAUCAAUGAUGGAUGAAAAAAUUUAUUUUGUAAAAUGUGAUGAAUGAAAAAAUUCAUUUUUUUAAGAGUCAUUUGAAAUUGUUCUAAACUAUUGUCCACUAGACACUUGUUAAAUAUACCUUAUAUAAUUAUAUGCCUAACAUUGAAAUUUUCAUUUUCUUUUCAUGCAAUAAAAUGCAACAUAGCAACAUGCCAACUUAUAAAACUUGUUUGACCUCCAUGAUAGAGACCAUGAAGUUGAAAACAAAAACUCAAUAGAGAAAGUGGAAAUAUACUGUAAGAACGUAACAUGUAGUUGCGUUAAAAAAAAAAAAAACAUGUAGUUGUGUUGACAAAAAGCUAAUACCUUCCCUGGAUUGAGGUUGAAAGAGCAAAAGUGACGUUGUAUACUUUGUUCACAUUUCUACAUCCUCCUGUGAUUUCUACCAUCAUCAUUUCAAUUUUUUUCCUCCCUGAAAUUCGUUCUAUUUUGUACAAAAUUUAUCGACUUAGGACUCUAGAACUUUAGCACUGUGAAUAUGAUAUACUAUAGUAAUUGUAAUGAAAUUGUUUUUUUCCCCCUAUAGUACUCCCUUUCGUUCCUUUUAUUGAUCAAACGUAAUAAAUAACACAGGCCACCGUAAAUUAUAAAACAUUUUUCUUUCUCUUUUUGCCUUUCAUUUGUUUACUUAUUUUUAUUUUUUUUGGUUGAGUAAUGUUUUCAUUUAUGCCGUAGUUAAAUUGAACCACAAUCUCAUUUCUCCUUCAAAAGUUUUUUUCCCCUUUUUUUGGUAGUAAUUUCCUAAGACCAGUGAUCAAAUAUUAUGGCCAACUAUAAUGCUAAACACUGAAUAUGACGAAAAGUCAUCUAUGUCCUUCAAUACCAGGGGGUGCGGGGAUUCGAAGCCUGUGAUUGAUGGCCCUGUUAUUGAGGGUUGUUGGUAAUUAUUGUUUUAUGUUUUGUGUUAUUGGCUUUACGCAUAGGAUGAGAAAAUUAGGAAAGCUGAAAGCUUGUAAUACGGGAAGACGGAAUCAUUAGUUUAGGAUAGUGAAGAAGCCUGUUGCAAUCUUAAAACAUUGUUGUACCAAAUAGAAUUAGAAGUCACAUAAAGGUUGAAAAGAUAAGUUGAUUAUUGUUGCAUCAUAUACUAAUAUUGACAUGAGGUCCCCUCUAUGAUAAAACCUUCAGUAGUAGAAGUGACUUCCCCGGAAGUAGAAGCUUGAGUGGUAGACAUAGUAGAGGUAGUAUCUUGCAUGUUUUGGUUUUUCUGUUGUCUUGAAUUUGUUCAUAAUCUUGUAGAUAGAUUGAGACCUGCAUAUAUAAUUACUUAUUGUUAGUAUACCAGACCAAAAAGAUAGAAGCAAACUUGAGCAGUAGAAGCUUGAGUAGCAGAUGCUUUGGUUUUUUUUUUUUUUUUUGCUUGAGGAUUGCCUCUUAAAUUAUCAUACAAUAUGUGAGAUUAAUUUAAUUAUUUUGGGUUAACUUUAGUAUUUAAAAUGUGGAAUACUUACUGUAACAUAUGGUGGUUUGCCUUCUGGAAUUGCUAUGGUAAGGUCGGCAUCAUUUGCCCCCAAUGGGUAGCUCGAUCGGUGUGGUUAUGUAAUGAUCAAGGCUGAAGGAUUAAGGAAUUGAGGAUGAUAAAAGGAGAGGAAAGAGAAGAACCAUCGGGGAAGAAGAGAACAGAGCAGAAAAGGUAGGGAAUAUAGAGUUCAGAGUAGAAUUGAUUAUUUGAGAGAGAAGAUUACAAUUCACAUACAAGCUGAUCUUCAUUACAUCCCAAAUUUUCUAUAUAUAGAUUCAGCUUACAAAGUAGUUACACGUAACUAACAUUCUUCUUACAACUAAUUGGUCUAAUUAUCAGAUUGGGUCAUAACAAUGCCUCACCAUUAAACAAUCCUAGUCCCUAGGAUUGAACUCUGAAAAGUCUAAACUAGAAACAAAUUGAUCCCCUUGAACACGAGUCUAGUGAAUGCAAAGUUGACCGUGAGUCUUAGCUUCAAGGCAAAAACAACGUAACUAUGCUCUCAUCUUCCAUUAUCUGAGUUAAUUCACCACCACCUGGAUCCCAUGGAAAAUGUGAUUUGCAAGCUCUGUAGUGCUGGAAUUUUUCAAUUGAAAUAGUAGCAAUUGUCCAAAUCAUUUUCAGCCCAUAAACUUCACCCCAGUCGUCAUGCCUCUAUUUAAUUCUAUACUGGGCCAACUUUAAGACAGAAUUAUGCAAUGGAAUCAGCACUUGGGUGACUUAAAAGCUGAUUUGUCAUCAUCAAGUCCUGGUCCCAAUUAAUGAUCAAGAUUAUGUCGUCUUCAAUAGGCCUCUUACCCAAUGCAACCUCCAAUAUCAUAACAACAAGGCAAGAAAGAUCACUUUCCAGAUUUGUAAGAGUAGAGAAGACACACUCAGCAACCAUAUUUUCCCUUGUUCCAGCUAGCAUAGUGACAUUUUUUGUUUUGAAACUAAGCUCAUAAACUCCUACUGGAAUAAAAUCUCCAAUCUCAAUACUGGACUGAGCAUAAAGCAUCAUAUGACCUGACUCAACAUCUUUGUGCAUUGUCUGGUUUAUGCACCGUAAAUGUAGAGUUACAAGAGUAAAGUUUCCUUGACCAUUACUUCUAUCUUCCAUGAACCCCUUUACACUAGAUUCAAUCUUAGCAAGGGACAAAUAAACUAGCACUCCCAUCCUCUAUAAUUUGGUUAGACCAUCUUCACUAUGCCAUUUCUUAGUAAUCUGCUCAUCAUUGUGCAGCAUACAACUAUAGUCCCAUCUUCUUGGGUGACUAAAAACUAAACCCAAAUACCUUGGAACAGCUCUUGAGCAAUCCUCCUCUUCAAGUAUGACUAGUAAUAUUUUGGAGAAUCUAGACCACAACAUCUUGAAUGGCCCAUAACUGGGAUUACAAGCAUUAUCUCCAACCCUCAUUAACUUCUGCAGAUUCGCCAAAAUUUCAGCCUGGAUUUUCCCUAAAUCUUGAUAUUCAAUCCAACUAAUCAUCUCUCUCUCCGGCUUAAGAUCAAUUCCUCAUGAGUCGGUAUCAACAAAAGCCAAGCAUUUAAUCUUUCUCAUAUCAACAGCAGCAUGAUUUCCAUAAACGUCAUCAAACAAGAAAGUGAACCUUAUAUCAACCUUAGUUUUACUUAGUAGAUCAUGAUAAUCAGAGACAUCUUCAAGAAGACCCAAACAAUCCUCAUUCAUGCUUAACGAACCUCUAUAAGAACUAAUGGAAGAUGCAAGUUCAUCAAGAACAUGAUGCAGUAACUUUGGAUGAUGAAUCAAGAUAUGGAGUUUAUCAUUAAAAUCCUCACUCAAUUCAAUAUGACUCGUUUUCACUACAGAAUCAGAAUGAUUAUUGCCUUCACUUGGUUCAAGGAAAAGCUCAUACCUAUCAGUUUCAUCAUCAUCAAAAUAAUGUUUGGUUUCGUCUUGGAAUUUUGCAACUCCCAAAUAAAAAAUCCCAUUUGGCUUGAUCAACUUUGUCUCCAAUGAAACAUUAACCUGCAAAUUGUGUGUAUAGAUCAUUCCAUCAUUGCCUUCGUUGCUGUAAUCGGUUUCAACAGUAACUUGAUUCGCAUUAGGAGCCCAGUUCUCAACUAUCCCUAAAACAGAACCUGUAACUCCAACAUAAGAAGAACAUUCAUC